UAUGUGACACUUUCCUCAGUACGAAAGGACCGGGAAAGUAAGGCCAAUACCACAAGCACGCCUUCUCCUCAAAUAAUGACCCCUACUAAAUUAUAAAAGGAACCUCCAUAUAAACCCCAAGCCCUAGAGAAGGGCC
rnacentral:rRNA from 1 species